rnacentral:snoRNA from 1 species
GUUUCAUGAUGAUGUCAAGGCAAAUGUGACCUCAUUGCCAGGCUGCUCCCUCAUCCUAUUCCCUAUAUAAAAGUCUGUAAUCUUGGUGGUCAACACAGAGAAAUGUGUGUUCACUGUAAGGGCAGACUGACAGAGUAUCCCCUGCUUCUGCCCUUCUCUUCGGAGGAGGUAUCCCAUUUCUUUGCAAAGUAUUGCAAGGAAUGGUCAGAGGUGUGGGUACAAGACAAGUUUAGUGUGCCUGGGUUAUAGGGUGCUGGGUGCUGCCAGAGUAAUGGUCGUUGAGGAAUCAUGAGCACAAGUCUUUGGUAAUCUGAAAGCU